rnacentral:rRNA from 1 species
GAUGAACGCUGGCGGCGUGCUUAACACAUGCAAGUCGAACGGUGAAGCAGGAGCCUGCUCUUGUGGAUCAGUGGCGAACGGGUGAGUAACACGUGAGCAACCUGCCCCUGACUCUGGGAUAAGCGCUGGAAACGGCGUCUAAUACUGGAUAUGUGAUGUGACCGCAUGGUCUGCAUCUGGAAAGAAUUUCGGUUGGGGAUGGGCUCGCGGCCUAUCAGCUUGUUGGUGAGGUAAUGGCUCACCAAGGCGUCGACGGGUAGCCGGCCUGAGAGGGUGACCGGCCACACUGGGACUGAGACACGGCCCAGACUCCUACGGGAGGCAGCAGUGGGGAAUAUUGCACAAUGGGCGGAAGCCUGAUGCAGCAACGCCGCGAGGGAUGACGGCCUUCGGGUUGUAAACCUCUUUCAGCACAGACGAAGCGCAAGUGACGGUAUGUGCAGAAGAAGGACCGGCCAACUACGUGCCAGCCGCCGCGGUAA